CAUAACUUUCAGUUUUUAUUGGGUAGGUAGCGGAGGAAGGAAUAAUGAUGUCAGGUUCUGAUGAACAUAACAUGAACUAACUUAACCUUGUCUGUUCAUCCUACAGGAAAUUUAAGUCACUCAUUGAAUAAUGUGUGCUGCUUCAGGGAAGAUGCACUGAAUACGAUGGAAUAAAGAUGAAAAACCUGAGAGGAUUGAGAAGAUGCUCUUCAGCCACCUCCUUGCCUGGACACUUCGGUAUUAUCUGUCGUUGCUGAUUUGCUUUCUGUAGAGCCUGUCAGAUUCUAACAUCUCUGUUGCAGUGGGAUCACACAUCAAAAGACUUUUACCCUCACUUGCUGAAUAUUUUUGGAAUUUAACAACUGCCUUUCUCUUUAAGUUUUGGUUUUGUCAGCCAGCUUCGCAAACUCUACCUUGCUGAUGUAGGAAGCAAAACACCAACAGUAGCUAAUCAGUCAGAGUCAGUCCUCUGUUCUGAUGGCCCUCACAGCUGAUAAACAGGAACCUUAUAUCUGGGACCACAAGUUUCUUUGGCAGAGGUGGAAGGGCUCAGCUGCAGAAUCUCAUAAAAGCCUUUUGCUGGCAUGGAGUACCCAAGAAAUUUACUCUUCGCUGCUAAAUUUCAGAGACAGAGAAGCACCAGGAGUAAAAUCGCAGGUCUUAAACUGA
rnacentral:lncRNA from 1 species